rnacentral:rRNA from 1 species
AGUGAACGCUGGCGGUAGGCCUAACACAUGCCAGUCGAACGGCAGCACAGUAAGAGCUUGCUCUUACGGGUGGCGAGUGGCGGACGGGUGAGGAAUACAUCGGAAUCUACUUUUUCGUGGGGGAUAACGUAGGGAAACUUACGCUAAUACCGCAUACGACCUACGGGUGAAAGCAGGGGAUCUUCUGACCUUGCGCGAUUGAAUGAGCCGAUGUCGGAUUAGCUAGUUGGCGGGGUAAAGGCCCACCAAGGCGACGAUCCGUAGCUGGUCUGAGAGGAUGAUCAGCCACACUGGAACUGAGACACGGUCCAGACUCCUACGGGAGGAAGCAGUGGGGAAUAUUGGACAAUGGGCGCAAGCCUGAUCCAGCCAUACCGCGUGGGUGAAGAAGGCCUUCGGGUUGUAAAGCCCUUUUGUUGGGAAAGAAAAGCAGCAGGUUAAUACCCCGCUGUUCUGACGGUACCCAAAGAAUAAGCACCGGCUAACUUCGUG